UAGCGUGCUCGCUCGCACACAGCUUCCCUUCGCUCCCUUCUUUCUGUCUCCCUUCGCAUGCUGUCUGGUGACUGUGGUGCCCCGCGACCGGCAGAAAGGCCAGAAAGGGGGUGGUGGAGGACACUCGUCAUGGCCGCCUCUAAGCCAAUGGAGGCGGCGGUGGUUGCAGCGGCUGCGUCCGGCUCGGCUCGGGUACUGCGGUGGGCGGUGGCGGUGGCGGGCCCGGGCGCUGGGGGCCUGCCGCGAUGGCAGCUGGCCCUGGAGGUCAGAGCACCCCUGCUGCUAGGUGUGGGUGCCAUGUAUCUAUGGAGCCAGCAGCGGUGGCGCAGGGAGGCCAGAGGUCGUGGCGACACCAGUGGCCUGAAGUGCAACAGUGAACAUACGACCCUGGAGGGCAGAGUCAGUCCAGCACCGGGCAGCGGACACCUUGAAGGCCCCGGUGCUCACCUGGAAAUGAAUUCUCUAGAUAGAACCCAAGCAACCAAGAACAAAGGCAACAAGUAUUUCAAAGCAGGAAAAAAUGAACAAGCUAUUCAGUGCUAUACUGAGGCUAUCAGUUUGUGUCCUACAGAGAAGAACGUUGACCGUUCCACGUUUUAUCAAAACAGAGCUGCUGCCUUUGAACAGUUGCAAAAAUGGAAAGAGGUGGCACAAGAUUGCACAAAGGCUGUUGAACUUAAUCCCGAAUAUGUGAAAGCUCUCUUUAGACCUGCAAAAGCCCAGGAGAAGCUAGAUAAUAAGAAGGAAUGUUUAGAAUACGUCACUGCUGUGUGUAUAUUAGAAAGAUUCCAAAAUCAACAAAGCAUGCUGUUAGCCGAUAAAGUUCUUAAACUUCUUGGAAAAGAGAAAGCCAAAGAAAAAUACAAGAAUCGUGAACAUCUGAUGCCAUCUCCACAGUUUAUCAAAUCUUAUUUCAGUUUUUUCAUGGAUAAUAUAAUUUCUCAGCCCAUGCUUAAAGGAGAAAAGUCUGAUGAAGAUAAAGAUAAGGAAGGGGAAGCUUUAGAAGUGAAAGAAAAUUCUGGAUAUUUAAAGGCCAAACAAUAUAUGGAAGAAGAAAACUAUGAUAAAAUCAUAAGUGAAUGCUCAAAAGACAUAGAUGCUCAAGGCAAAUACAUCGCAGAAGCAUUAUUACUACGUGCCACUUUCUACCUACUUAUUGGCAAUGCCAAUGUAGCCAAGCCAGAUUUAGAUAAGGUCAUCAGUUUGAAAGAAGCUAAUGUGAAGCUUUGAGCAAAUGCACUUAUUCAAAGAGGCAGCAUAUACAUGCAGCAGCAGCAGCCUUUGCUGUCUACUCAGGAUUUUAACAUGGCUGCUGACAUUGAUCCUCAGAAUGCAGAUGUUUAUCACCACUGAGGACAGCUGAAAAUAUUGUUUAAUCAAGUUGAAGAAGCAGUGGGAGACUUUGAUGAAUGUAUUAGAUUAAGACCUUAAUCUGCUCUGGCACAGGCUCAGAAAUGUUUUGCACUAUAUCGUCAGGCAUAUACAGGAAACAAUUCUUCACAAAUCCAAGCAGCUAUGAAAGGUUUUGAAGAAGUCAUAAAGAAAUUUCCAAGGUGUGCUAAGGGAUAUGCACUGUAUGCUCAGGCAUUAACAGAUCAACAGUAGUUUGUUAAAGCUGAUGAAAUGUAUGAUAAAUGUAUUGAUUUGGAACCAGAUAAUGCUACAACUUAUAUUCAUAAAGGUUUACUUCAACUUCAGUGAAAGCAAGAUCUGGAUAAAGGUUUGGAGCUUAUCAGCAAGGCAAUUGAGAUCGACAAUAAAUGUGAGUUUGCCUAUGAAACCAUGGGAAGUAUUGAAGUACAAAGAGGAAACAUGGAGAAAGCCAUUGACAUGUUCAAAAAGGCUAUUAACCUGGCCAAAUCGGAAAUGGAGAUUGCUCAUCUGUACUCACUCUGUGAUGCUGCCCAUGCUCAGACAAAAGUUGCAAAGAAAUACAGACUAAAAUCACCAACAUUUUAAAAUAGGGGUGGAGGGAGGAAAAUGACCCUCUUUUUAGAAAAAGUUACCCCCUCUUCAACAGAAUCCUACAGACACUCAUGGACUGUGUUGAAUGAUGGAACUUAGUAUUUUAGUGUGUGCUGUUGUCACUUGUUACAUCUGUUUCAUGUUUAGGUGUGUAGGAGUGGCUGUUGAAGGAAAUUUUAAGUGUUGCAGCUUUUAUUUCUUGGAUAACAAAAGCAUAGAACCUUAAAGGGCUAUUAAAGUUGCAAUGAGUACAAAUGACAGUCAGCCAUGCAAAUAAAAAACUUUGAUU